UUCACCUCAACAUCGUCAUCAUAAGUGUUGGUGUCGCUGAAAGCUAUGCCUAAUACCUAGGCCUGAAUAUAUACGACAUCGUGUCGUGCACUUAGCAUCGUGUUUACAGGAGAAAAAAUCGACGUGGAAGAAAUGCUACUUCACGCGAUAACGAGAUCUACAAACUGACAGGUUUUUACUAAUGGUGCGGUUAAGAAAACUACAGCGUGACAAUCUCCACGUGACACAACCGGAAGACCAAACUCCCAGUGUGUUUGGUCGGGCACAGUCGACUACUUGCACCAUCCCGCGGUUAACCGGUUAAACAGUUAACCCAGUGUUAAAUUGUACAGGUAACCAUAGUAACUCUAGGUUUAACCGGUUAACCCCGGGUUACUGGGCCCUAAGGUGCAUUGGAAUAACUUCGGAAGCGAAGUAAUCUUGAAAAUGGCAAUUAUAAGUUUUUGGCAAAUUUAAUUUUUUGGUACAAGUUUUUAUCGCUGACUGUACUUUUCUUUCCACAGGCAACUAAUACUCAUCGAGACAAUUUUAACGACCCCAAACACAUUUAAUUUGCGUUGUUGCAAACGAGUCGAGUUCUUCAAAUAUACAAACGAAAAUAGUGGGGGGUCCGUUUAUAGGCAUAUUCGGCAUCGGGUUCUGAUUAGAAAAUAGUACAAGAAAUAUUUUUUCACCACACCAACUGGUAAAGGCCUUCUUGGUUGUUCAAAAACGAAUGAGAAAGUUGCAUUUUAUCCACAUGUGGGGCAAAGUAAUCAGAGGCAAAUAUUGAGUUGUUUCCUUAUGUUAGCUAAUACUUUUAAAUGAUGAUUUUAAAUGAAAUUUUUUUUAUCACGUUCAUUUGGAUUUGAUUUGAUUUCUUUGGUUUUCAUGGUUAGUAUUUUCCUCGCGUCGGUAUGGUGAAAAUUUUUGUGUUUCACUCGGAGGCAAAGUUUGUUUAACUCUUGUGCCUUGAAACCCUCCCAACGCUCAAGAUUCCAUUUCUCGAACCAUUCGCUACGCUCGUGGUUCAAUUUUGAGAUAUUUUUCUUGCUCGGGUAUCAAUAUUAGCACGAGCGGUUAAACAACAACUUUGCCCCCUUGUAAAAUAAAUAAAUAUUUUGACGCGAAUUUUUAUUUCUACGGGGCAAGUCGUCCAAGUUGGUCAAUCCUCCAUACAAAGGCCAACAAAAUGUCGACGAAUUUUUGUUUUCAUACAUUUUUUUGAUCUGGGGGCCUAGAAAAGUGACCAUCGUUUCUAGAUAACGCCAAUUGAAACUAAAACAAUGUAUAGAAAUAUACAUUCACGUGAGUUUUGGUAGCAUGUGUAAUCCUAGUACAUUUAUUGUUUUUUUUGUAUGGGGCUUGUAGAUGACAAUUUUUAUCUGAACUAGAUUCCCAGAUCUGAUAUCGAUUUUUUCUAUGGGAUAGCCAUUUUUUGUGAAAGCUCGGAAUGUAAUAUUUUUUUCAGCAAUCAUCGACGUGCACAAAUAAUUUGUGUAGUUGCUACAUUUUUCAUUAAUUCCUCGCUACUCAUUUAUUAUAUUUUAUGCUCUUAUAAUUUUAGAAAAUUGUGUUAAUUCGAACCUUUUUAUAUGUAAUUAAUUAGUUAACCGAUUUCGUUAACUCAUUCCAACUUUUUGAUCGGAAGCUGAUUGUAGUCGACACUAGAUGGCGUUAUUAUCAUUUAACAUAAAAUUACGAUUACAUAGUAAUAUGAGCCAAUUUUUGAUUUGAUUCUCGAAAUUUGCUUCCGUCGUUGAUGGAUAGUUAGACUUCCUAUUGUGUGCAAUAUAAUCGUCAAUAAAUAGUUUAGAUGGACUCUACUUAUAAAUAAAUUCAGAUAGAGUUGGCAGAUUUUCGUGACUAAUCAAACCUGAAUGUAGAGUCUUGGUCUUACAAAUAGACUUAGACCAAGCCAAAUUGGCAGAGAUUUUGAUAGCCCAGAUUGUGCAAGCGCUAUUUAAACGACAUUAUUUCUUAGAAGUUUGACUUUUCAAAACAACACUUGCAUCUGGAUUAUCAAAAUCGCUGCCAACCUUAGCUUGUUAUAACUCUAUUUCCAUUGGGCCUCUGGAAAUUCAAGACAAAGAAACACGCUAAGUUUAGCUCUACGUUCAGCUCUCGAUUGUAUAUUUUUAUUUGUAUUGUAAUUUUAUGUUCUUAUUAAACUCGACUCUAGCUUUUUUACUGUAUUAUACCUACAUUUCAAUUUGACAGACAAAUUACUUUCAUAUAUUGUAAAAGGUCUUUCGGGUAUAUUGAAAUUUGUCCUCUGCGGGCACAAAUGGGAAUACGUACAUUCAUGUGAAUCGUUCCCAUCUGUCCCUGUCUUAUGGCGGCCGUCACGUGUUAACCUUUUUCCGCGAUUAAAGCAAAAUUAAAUUUUUAGGUAUUUUAAUGUGUAUUUUUUAUUAUGUUGUUAAACUAUAUCGAUAUGAAGUUUGUGGUGAGUGAUUUAAAAUCACUAAAUCUUGAGUUAUAGUCGAGUAUUUUCUUUUCUUUUUAGCCAGCACUUUGGCCCACUCAACUGAAACCCGUAGAUCCGAACUUGUGCGCACCGUCGAUGGGGCACGCCUGCGACUAUAGUCCUGGCUAUGACUAUUAUGACUAUACAUGUAUGACUUGACACUUGGGUGGUCUACUAAAAAAAAAUUAAAACGGACUAUAAAAAAAAUCUCCAUUAAUUUUCGUAUUCACUAGUAAAUCUGACAAUGAGUAAACUGACAUAAGACUAUUUCACAUGAGUUUGGUUGUAAUACUUAUAGUCAUUAUGUACACGUUCAAUAUUACAUCGAUUAUAGUCCAUAAAAGAAUAUGACUCGUAAUUUACUAGUCCAGUGCUAACUCGGUUAUAGUCCAUGUACAGCGAACUGUAAAAGUGCAUACCUACUUUAUGAAUGGAAUUAUUUCAUAAAGUGGAUAUAUACUUUUGCAGCUGUAUGUACAAGCCUAUGAUUAUAAGUUUCAUCGCGACUGUACUAAUGACUGAAUGACAGUCUAAUGUUACGACAGUAAUUGGCCCUGUAUAGUCGAUUGGAUGUUUCAUUCAUUGCUUUGACAGUUAUAGUCAUGGGUGAUUGGUAGUUAGUCCUAUAUUAGUCGGACUUGUGACUGUCAGUUAUAGUCGUGUGUCAGCUGGACUAUAUAGUCGCCAGCGCGUGCCCACACAAGUUUGGUAUACGAGGCCACAGUUUUGGCGGGAUGUCGACGUUUCUUCAUUUUUUUCAUCUUUUUUUCGUAUUUUUUUCUGUUUAUCUUUUAUUUUAUUGUGUUUUCUGUAAAUGUUUUAAUAGUAACUAGUUUAGAUUACUUUAUUAAUUAGUCGGGCCAUAUUUUCUCUGUUAUGUUAUAAUGGAAUUAUGAAGGAAGCUAAAGCAGAGACGCUUUCCAUAUACAUUUUCUUACCUGGACCAGCUUGUUGUUACCUCUAUAAUUAUACUGCUGUCCCGCCCAUGAUGCCGGUUGUCAAUGUCACUGUGCGAACUUGACAGGAAU